UACGUAGGGUGCAAGCGUUAAUCGGAAUUACUGGGCGUAAAGCGUGCGCAGGCGGUGAUGUAAGACAGGUGUGAAAUCCCCGGGCUUAGCCUGGGAACUGCAUUUGUGACUGCAUCGCUGGAGUGCGGCAGAGGGGGAUGGAAUUCCGCGUGUAGCAGUGAAAUGCGUAGAUAUGCGGAGGAACACCGAUGGCGAAGGCAAUCCCCUGGGCCUGCACUGACGCUCAUGCACGAAAGCGUGGGGAGCAA
rnacentral:rRNA from 1 species